AGAGUUUGAUCAUGGCUCAGAAUGAACGCUGGCGGCGUGCUUAACACAUGCAAGUCGUACGAGAACUCUUCUGCUUGCAGAAGAAAGUAAAGUGGCGCACGGGUGAGUAACGCGUGGGUAAUCUACCUUCGAAUUUGGGAUAACGUUGCGAAAGCGACGCUAAUACCGGAUAAUAUCAUUUUUUUCCUCGGAUGAAAUGAUCGAAGGUGGCCUCUACAUGUAAGCUACUGUUUGAAGAUGAGCCUGCGUACCAUUAGCUUGUUGGUGGGGUAAAAGCCUACCAAGGCUUCGAUGGUUAGCUGGUCUGAGAGGAUGAUCAGCCACACUGGAACUGACACACGGUCCAGACUCCUACGGGAGGCAGCAGUGAGGAAUUUUGCGCAAUGGGGGAAGCCCUGACGCAGCAACGCCGCGUGAGUGAUGAAGGCUUUCGGGUCGUAAAGCUCUGUCAAGUGGGAAGAACCUACGAUGUGUUAAUAUCACAUUGUACUGACGGUACCACUGAAGGAAGCACCGGCUAACUCCGUGCCAGCAGCCGCGGUAAUACGGGGGGUGCAAGCGUUAUUCGGAAUCAUUGGGCGUAAAGGGCGCGUAGGCGGCCUAUUAAGUCAGAUGUGAAAGCCCGGGGCUCAACCCCGGAAGUGCAUUUGAAACUAAUAGGCUUGAGUAUGGGAGAGGGAAGUGGAAUUCCUGGUGUAGAGGUGAAAUUCGUAGAUAUCAGGAGGAACACCGGUGGCGAAGGCGACUUCCUGGACCAAUACUGACGCUGAGGCGCGAAGGCGUGGGUAGCAAACAGGAUUAGAUACCCUAGUAGUCC
rnacentral:rRNA from 1 species